CGGAUCUAUACAUGCAAGUCGAACGCUUUGUGGUUCAACUGAUUUGAAGAGCUUGCUCAAAUAUGACGAUGGACAUUGCAAAGAGUGGCGAACGGGUGAGUAACACGUGGGAAACCUACCUCUUAGCAGGGGAUAACAUUUGGAAACAGAUGCUAAUACCGUAUAACAAUGACAACCGCGUGGUUGUUAUUUAAAAGAUGGUUCUGCUAUCACUAAGAGAUGGUCCCGCGGUGCAUUAGCUAGUUGGUAAGGUAAUGGCUUACCAAGGCGAUGAUGCAUAGCCGAGUUGAGAGACUGAUCGGCCACAAUGGGACUGAGACACGGCCCAUACUCCUACGGGAGGCAGCAGUAGGGAAUCUUCCACAAUGGGCGAAAGCCUGAUGGAACAACGCCGCGUGUGUGAUGAAGGGUUUCGGCUCGUAAAACACUGUUGUAAGAGAAGAAUGACAUUGAGAGUAACUGUUCAAUGUGUGACGGUAUCUUACCAGAAAGGAACGGCUAAAUACGUGCCAGCAGCCGCGGUAAUACGUAUGUUCCAAGCGUUAUCCGGAUUUAUUGGGCGUAAAGCGAGCGCAGACGGUUAUUUAAGUCUGAAGUGAAAGCCCUCAGCUCAACUGAGGAAUUGCUUUGGAAACUGGAUGACUUGAGUGCAUUAGAGGAAAGUGGAACUCCAUGUGUAGCGGUGAAAUGCGUACAUAUAUGGAAGAACACCUGUGGCGAAGGCGGCUUUCUGGACUGUAACUGACGUUGAGGCUCGAAAGUGUGGGUAGCAAACAAGAUUAGAUACUCUGGUAGUCCACACCGUAAACGAUGAGUGCUAGGUGUUUGAGGGUUUCCGCCCCUUAAGUGCCGCAGCUAACGCAUUAAGCACUCCGCCUGGGGAGUACGACCGCAAGGUUGAAACUCAAAGGAAUUGACGGGGACCCGCACAAGCGGUGGAGCAUGUGGUUUAAUUGGAAGCAACGCGAAGACCCUUACCAGGUCUUGACAUCCCUUGACAACUCCAGAGAUGGAGUGUUCCCUUCGGGGACAAGGUGACAGGUGGUGCAUGGUUGUCGUCAGCUCGUGUCGUGAGAUGUUGGGUUAAGUCCCGCAACGAGCGCAACCCUUAUUAUUAGUUGCCAGCAUUCAGUUGGGCACUCUAGUGAGACUGCCGGUGACAAACCGGAGGAAGGUGGGGAUGACGUCAAAUCAUCAUGCCCCUUAUGACCUGGGCUACACACGUGCUACAAUGGCGUAUACAACGAGUUGCCAACCCGCGAGGGUGAGCUAAUCUCUUAAAGUACGUCUCAGUUCGGAUUGUAGGCUGCAACUCGCCUACAUGAAGUCGGAAUCGCUAGUAAUCGCGGAUCAGCACGCCGCGGUGAAUACGUUCCCGGGUCUUGUACACACCGCCCGUCACACCAUGAGAGUUUGUAACACCCAAAGCCGG
rnacentral:rRNA from 1 species